UUACAGCCAUAUUAGGUUGAAACACCGUUUCCCAUACGACCAUCGAAGUUAAGCAACGUCGAACCUGAUCAGUACCUAGAUGAGAAACCGCUUGAGAAUACCAGCCGCUGUA